GCAUCAAGGUGUUCCUGCAAUAAAGCUGUUGAGAAGAAUCCGACCAUGUUGCGGUUUUCCUUGCUGGACAAGGUCUCCCACUUUGCAAAGAUUUGUCUGUGAAGUGAUGCCCAGAAAAGAUUUGAGCAGCCGUGCCAAUUAGCAAUGACCUUCAGCCCUGGGAGCACAGAGGAAUCGCGCUCUGGCUGUUCUGCAGGGGGUCUUCAUGGAUCUCGGUGGAAUUUUUCUCAAGCUUCUAUGAUCAACUAGUGUGCUGGCUGGCAGGAUCCCUGGCCUAGAGCGCUGCCAUGGGAAGCUCUCUCCUACUUGGCCCCUCAUCUUGCUUCAAGCCAGCCCCUGAGGUAGCACAUCAAGAGAAAGAGAAGCCAAAACCUGGGCUUGAAUCCACAGCUAGCACUCAUCCAACAUCCUGCUGACCAAGCGAACCAUGUGGUCAGGUCAGGAGAUGGCGAAGCAGAAUUCACUUCUGAUGUCACAGAGUGCCAGAGACGAGGACAUAGAUACAAAAUGGAUGAAGAGUUAGGGAUACUGAUGAAGUCUGUCAGCCAUGGCGUGAGAAGACAGUGGGAGAACUAACCCGGGAAGAAGAUGACCAGGCUCACAGUGAAGAAGACAGAACUUGCUCCCUGAUCC